AGUUCUCCAAAAAGAGUUGGCGGAAGGGUAUGCGACAAAUUUUUUAUGGGGUUAAUUGAAUCUAACCUCAACCUUUUCGUGAUUCUGAGCGCAAGCAAGCCAGUUGUGAAAUUCAUUAUAAAUUAUCUUUUUAUUCAAUUUAUUAUUAUUUUGUUGGUGAAAUAUAUUAGAAGCAUUAGAAGAAGAGAAAAUAUAGCAGUGAAAAGUGAAAUAUAGACACUUGAGACGCUAAAAUUAGCAAAAUCCGGUCAUUCUUGCCAGACAAGAGCAAAAGUGCUGUAUUCUCUGAAGAGGUAUGGAAGAGCAGAGGCGAUAAAUGGCGAAACGUGAAGAAGUGGAAGGAAUAACGAUUGAUGUAGAAGCACCGGAAGUACCGAAGCAGGCUGUAGAAUUUCUGGAUCUCCCUCUGGUAGAUUUGAUGCCUACGAUCGCAAAAUACUUCAUUCCUAGCGAUUUGUUUGCCCUGCGCAGCUGCUCUCGCUAUUGCAAGCAACUGGUGGAUGAUGUUGGAUUUGCAUGUCUUGGAAAAGUUAACCUUACAGAUCUUGGUUGUGGGUGGAACUCUAGAUACGUUGAGGAAAUCAAUACGUCGAGAAAUGCGAUUAAGCACAAUAUUAUGCUGAAGUGUCGCCGUGCCUGGCUUUUCAAGUGGGAUGAAGAGGUUGGUUUUGAAAUGGAACUUUCAGAGGAUAUUCUCUCCAAGUUUCUAGAAAACAAUCCUCUUCUGGAAGUAUUUAAGAUCGAUUUAGGUAGAAAAUAUGAGGGACAAGUUCUUCAGCCGCUCUUACAGUGCAAGAAUCUUGUUGUGCUGAGAAUAAGAAUGAACGGUCAUGUGGACGAUGAAUUUCUCCGCAGUCUGAGGCAAAAUAACAAGAAUCUAAAGGAAAUUAUUUUAUUGCCAGAAGAUUGCUACUCUCCCUUCCCUGAUGACUGGUGAAGGAUAAAAGCAACCACAUUUAACAAGCUUUGGCCUCCCAUAUAUUGAGAUUGAAGAUCAAGAAGAAGUUAUUGAACCUGUCAUCCAAUCUUGCAAAAAUUUGAAGACAAUUAAGCUCGAGACUUAGGAGAAUGAUAACCUUGAUCGAUUGUUAAGACGGCUGGCAGACUGUUGCAAGAAACUUAAGACCAUUAACUUAAGAGAUACAGAAGGGUAUAAGGAAAGAAAUUCAGCAUUAAUUGACUACAUGUAUGGCAAAGGGAUCAACUUUUUUUGGGGCUUCUACCACAGAGCCUUUAAUGAGUGGUUGAAUUGCACAUGCAUGGGCAAUUAGAAUAAAAAUUAAAUAUUAAUUUGGAGUAUUAUUAAAAUCAAUAAAUUAUUAUUUGCUAACUUU